CCUGUCUGCCUGUCUCUGUGUCACGCAGAUGGAGUCACUUCCAGGGUCCUUUCCCAACCUUUGGACACUGAAGGCCACUGUGGGCUCAUCUGCUGGCCUGUGAGGUCCAGGUGUGACCGGGGGCGCAGGACUCCUGGCUGACCCUGGGCAACUGGGCAGCACGGGGCGUGACUGAUGUGUGAGUUCAUUAGCUUUGCGGAGUAUCAAUUUCCUUACCUGCUAAAUGGGGAGAUAGCUCCUGGCUUAAACCCAUCUUCCAGGAGCAGCUCUUGGCAGGGUGAUUGGAAUGAGGUAAGCACUUAAGCCAUGGUUGCUGUGGAUCUUAUUGCUGUGACUUCAGCCUUUGUCCAAAAUUUCCAUGCACCCUCUUGGAGUGUUAUGCAUCGGGAGAGCCUGGUGGCUGAUGCCCAUAGAAACGCCUCUCCCCAGAAGCUCCCCCAAUCCCAAGCUCUCAUUAUCCUACAUGCAUAUUCAUGAGGUCUGGCCUCAGCCCCGCUCUGUAAAUGAAUCAGUAGCAGGAAGUGGAGGCCAGUGCAGAGAACAAGGCCCAGGGGACAGGAGGCUGGAAUCCAGAGUGCAUCUGAGUCCUCAUGGAUGGGAGGAUGAUGAGAAGCGUGAGGCUGAAAGAAGAUGAGUCAGCAGGACAAAGCGGCGUGGCCUCCUGCCUCUGCCAUGGCCUUGGGUGGGGCCAGGUAGACCUCACACGGCAGGAGGGGCUGCCCACAGGCCUAGGGAGAUGGAUCACGAACCUUGGGAGGUGGAUCAAGCCAGCUCUACAGCACAGCCUGUGACUCCGGCAUCCCAUAUGGGUGCCAGUUUGAGUCCCAGCUGCUCCAUUUCCAAUCCAGCUCCCUGCGGAUGCACCUGGGGAAGCAGUAGAAGAUGGCCCAAGUGCUUGGGGCCCUGCACCCAUGUGGGAGACUGGAUGGUGUUCCCGACUUCUGGCUUUGGCCUAGUCCAGCCCUGGCCACUUGCAACCAUUUGGAGAGUGAACUAGUAGAUAGAGGAUCUCCCGCCCCCCCCCCCCCCCCCCUUUGGAACUUGGCCUUUCAAGGAAA
rnacentral:lncRNA from 1 species